CAGCAGCCACGGUAAUAUGAAGGGUGCAAGCGUUAAUCGGAAUUACUGGGCGUAAAGCGUGCGUAGGCGGUUUGUUAAGUCUGUUGUGAAAUCCCCGGGCUCAACCUGGGAAUGGCAAUGGAUACUGGCAAGCUAGAGUGUGUCAGAGGAUGGUGGAAUUCCCGGUGUAGCGGUGAAAUGCGUAGAGAUCGGGAGGAACAUCAGUGGCGAAGGCGGCCAUCUGGGACAACACUGACGCUGAGGCACGAAAGCGUGGGGAGCAAACAGGAUUAGAUACCCGCGUAGUCCCUGUCUCUUAUAC
rnacentral:rRNA from 1 species